ACUUCCAUGACCACCGUCCUGCUAUCUUAAUCGACCAACACCCUUUGUGGGUUCUAGGUUAGCACGCAGUUUGGCACCGUAACCCAGCUUCCGGUUCAUCCCGCAUCGCCAGUUCUGCUUACCAAAAAUGGCCCACUUGGAGCUCCCGAUUCCAUGGCACGGCUCACCGGAGCAA